CCUACGGUGUGCAGCAGUGGGGAAUAUUGCACAAUGGGGGAAACCCUGAUGCCGCGACGCCGCGUGUGUGAAGAAGUAUUUCGGUAUGUAAAGCUCUGUCAGCAGGGAAGAAAAUGACGGUACCUGACCAAGAAGCCUCGGCUAACUACGUGCCAGCAGCCGCGGUAAUACGUAGGGGGCAAGCGUUAUCCGGAUUUACUGGGUGGAAAGGGAGCGUAGACGGCAGGGCAAGUCUGGAGUGAAAGGCGGGGGCUCAACCCCCGGACUGCUCUGGAAACUGCCAGGCUGGAGUGCAGGAGAGGUAAGUGGAAUGCCUAGUGUAGCGGUGAAAUGCGUAGAUAUUAGGAGGAACACCAGUGGCGAAGGCGGCUUACUGGACUGUAACUGACGUUGAGGCUCGAAAGCGUGGGGAGCAAACAGGAUUAGAUACCCCUGUAGUC
rnacentral:rRNA from 1 species